UUCUGGAUAGCUCAGUCAGUAGAGCAUGAGAUUCUUAAUCUCAGGGUCGUGGGUUCAAGCCCCACAUUGGGAA